CACAGAUUAAAAACCCUUUAACAGGACAACACAUCAACACAAACAAUUGUUUUUUCUACACUCUUUACUCUUUACUACACCACUGUGUCAUUUGUCUUCAAUAAGAUGUGAACUGUACUGAGCGUCAGGUUGUCCCAACUUUAACUGAGCAAAAACACUGCACUUACAUAUUUGAGUUCUCUGAUGCAUGUUUGCGUCUAAUAUUAUAUUUAUAGAAGUUAAAAUGAUAAGAAAUACAGACAAGUGAUACAAUCUCAAGCACUUUAUUAGGUUUGAACAGUAUCUUGCUUAAAAAGGCCAUUGGGCAUUAUAUAAUUAUAUAUUCAAAUGUUGAAUAUCAAAACACCAGAAACAAACAUUGGCAAAUUAAAAAUAGGAUUUGCUUAAGACAGUUUUACCAAAUUAAAAAUGGCCAAAACAAAAUAUCUAAUACAUUUCAAAAUGGUCCCGAUACAGUUCAAUAUACAUUGUUUUUUUUAUUAAAAGAAGGGUGAAGGGAGAAGAAAAUAUAAGGCAGCAGACAGGAAUGAAAUAUAAAUAACCUUACAUUAUGUACAAAAGGGAGUGGGCAGUGACCACUGAAGAAAUGGUCCACGGACAGGAGAAACAGGAAAAUGAAGCAUGGACAGUGGACAGCAGUGAGUGAGACAUUAAGGACAUUUAGAAAGGUAGAAAGAAGAGAGAAGUUGGACUUCCAUUUUCCCCUACUAUGACGCUCUAAUAACGGAGACCCAGUUUGAUUCUCCAGGGCAUUCAAUGCAGGGAACGAAGAGAUGCAAAAUAGGGACAACUGUCUGGUUCCCCUUGGUUUGCAUUUGUAUUUGUUGUGGAUAGAAAAUACUUAAUAGAACAUUUGGGUACCCACAAUUGAUUACUUGUCAUGGAUACAACAUUUCAAUCAUAUGGAAUGAAGUAAAGCCAUUCAAUAAAGAUGGAAAUCAUUUUAAAAGUGAUCUCAACGUUAGUUUGAGCUGCACAAAUAUACGACUAGAGGGAAUGUGAAAGGGAGGAUGACUGACCCCACUGGUUUUGGCCCUAUUGAUUUGCAGGUGGUAAUUAAGGAGACACAUGCAAGUUCAGGAAAAUACACAUGGCAGCUUUUAGGAUGGCAAUGCCUGCACCACAUAU
ensembl:lncRNA